GAGAUUAGUAUGAGGGAGAAAAAAAACAACAACGCUCUCUUCACCUUUCUAGACGCCCAGAGCUCCGGUCUCUACCAUCGUUGCCCACCUUCUCCCUCAUACUAAUCUCUACGAUAGCUGCACCAUCGCCUAUGGCUACCAAGACGUCCUCUCCCAUCAAUUCGUCAGACCUGAUCCAACUAGUUAGCUUCCUCCUCAGACGCUCCAAGCUACUCUCCCAUGGCCACCCCACGUGAUUCCUCAUCCCCUUCAACAGAAACGGCUCUGGGCCGCCGGAAAAUGGUACAUCAGUCACUUCAACCUCUCAAAUCGAUCAGAAAAGGCAAUUCUUCAGAGAUUUUUCUUCUGCCUCAUUUUAUUUUCUCUGUUCAAACUUGGCUUCCCAAGAAUUCAAAAAUUUUGAAUUCUAGGUCAAUAGAGGUUAUGAUUUUUGCUAUAAAAG
rnacentral:misc_RNA from 1 species